rfam:Triticum aestivum genome assembly, contig: Triticum_aestivum_CS42_TGACv1_scaffold_250266_3DL
AUACUUACCUGGACGGGGUCUAUGGGUGCUCAAGAAGGCUCAUGGCCUAGAUCAAUGGUUCGCAUUGCAGGUAGUGGUGCGUUGAUUUACCAUAUUCCUUUGGGAGAGUGGACGUUAUAAUUUAUGAUAGAGGGGGUACGCGUCCGCGCGUUCCCUGC